UCUUCUCCCUCACAGACCCAAGAACACCUCUCUCUCUCUCUUCUCUUCUCUCUCUACAUUUCUCAGCCAAUGGCAUGGUUCUCUGCUAUAUAGUCUUUCUCCAGCUUCUAGUUCUUCAUGUCAUGUUCAGCUAAACUAUUUGUCAAACACCUAGUAGGCAGCUUCUGCUUCGUUUCUGGAAUACUGCCAUUUUCCGGCGAAAUGCCGGCUGCCGGAGUGGAAUACCGGUGGAACCUAGAACCCACCUUUUACCCUGCCAGAUUUCCUAGAUGAACUAAUUCUUUAACGUUAAAAUGUUUCCAACUUCAAAAUGGUGUACCAAACUCUCACCUAGAUCAUAAACCAGUUGCUCCCACAGAAAGAAGAUUCCGGUUUUCACCGAGGAAAACUUGACCAUUCGAGGAAUUUUGGCACCCAUUUUCUCGGAUAGGAAGCCUAUUUCAAUGUCUAAUGCUAAUUCAAGCUCAAUUGAUGCGUCUGAAGACGUCGCCGUGAAGGCGGUCAACAAGCGGUAUGAAGGUUUAGUGACUGUUCGUACAAAGGCUGUCAAAGGGAAAGGAGCUUGGUAUUGGGCUCAUCUUGAGCCCAUUUUGAUCAGGAAUCCUGAAACCAACAUGCCGAAAGCCGUUAAACUUAAAUGCACUCUCUGUGAUGCUGCAUUUUCUGCGUCAAAUCCAUCCAGGACUGCUUCUGAGCAUCUUAAGAGAGGAACUUGUCCAAAUUUCAGCUUAAUGUUGAAGCCCAUUUCGCAGUUGCCCCCUUUGGCUUCACCUUCUUCGCAGCAAAAUCAUCGCAAGCGAAGCUCACAAUCUCAGCAAGCAGUGGGUACUUCUUCAAAUGUGUAUCCAAUUAGCAUGGUUGAUUCCUCUCGGUUCAGGAAUGAAACAAGCUUUCCGCCAGCCCAAACUCUGCAGGCACCGGGUGUGACUCUGAAGCCACUGGUCUUGUCCGGUGGGAAAGAGGAUUUGGGGCCACUAGCGCUGUUGGAAAAUAGUGUGAAGAAGCUCAAAAGCCCCAAAGCUUCACCUAAUCCGACUUUGAGCAAAGACCAAGUCAAUACAGCCUUCAAUUUUUUAGCUGAUUGGUUCUACGAGUCAUGUGGAUCGGUGUCAUUAUCAAGUCUUGAACAUCCUAAGUUCCAAGCUUUCCUUAACCAGGUGGGCUUGCCUGCGUUGUCAAAAAGGGAGUUUUCAAGUGCCAGGCUCGAUUCUAAGUUUGAGGAAGCUAGAAUUGAGUCAGAAGCUAGAAUUAGGGAUGCGGCAUUCUUUCAGGUUGCUUCUGACGGGUGGAAGAGCAAGAAUUCUACUAGUGCCAGUCAGUGCUUGGUUAACUUUAUGGUGAAUCUUCCCAAUGGGACAAGAGUGUUCCAGAAGGUGGUAUAUUCUGCUGGUGGUUCAAUGCCAUCACAGUAUGCAGAGGAGGUUCUGUCGGAGACAAUUCAAGGAAUAUGCGGCAAUGACGCACAGAGAUGUGUGGGGAUUGUUGCAGAUAAGUUUAAAGCAAAAGCAUUGAGAAAUUUAGAACUCCAGAACCAUUGGAUGGUCAAUUUUUCUUGUCAGGUUCAAGGAUUUUUUAGUCUGAUAAAGGACUUCUAUAGAGAACUUCCAUUAUUUAGGAGUGUAAGUGAUAAUUGUUUGAAAAUUGCGUAUUUGAUUAAUUCCACGCCACAUAUUAGGAAUAGCUUCCACAAGUUUAGGUUGCAAGGGCUUGACUUUGCUGGGUAUAUUAGAGUUCCUCCUCCUAAAUGCGAUAUCUCAAAAAAUUUGGCUCCGUUUAUUGCUAUGUUGGAUGAUUUAAUAAGCUGUUCCCGAAUUCUACAUCUAAUUGUAUUGGAUGAUUCAUAUAAAGUUGUUUGCUUAGCUGAUAUCACUGCAAGGGAAUGCGCUGACAUGAUUCAGGAUGUUGGGUUCUGGAAUGAUGUGGAGGCUGCUCAUUCACUAGUGAAGAUGAUCAUGGGGAUGGCUGAAGACAUUGAGGCUGAGAGGCCAUUAGUUGGCCAGUGUAUUCCCCUUUGGGAGGAACUGAGGGCUAAAGUUAAGGACUGGUGCACCAAAUACAACUUUGCUGAGGGACCUGUUGAGAGGAUAGUAGAAAGGCGAUUCAAAAAGAACUAUCACCCAGCAUGGUCAGCUGCAUUUGUUCUUGAUCCAUUAUAUUUGGUCAGAGAUGCAAGUGGGAAGUACCUUCCCCCUUUCAAGUGUUUGACACAUGAGCAAGAGAAGGAUGUUGACAAGCUUGUAACAAGGUUGGUUUCAAAGGAGGAAGCCCACAUUGCUUUAAUGGAACUUAUGAAGUGGAGGUCAGAAGGUUUAGACCCACUAUAUGCUCAGGCAGUUCAAGUAAAGCAGCGGGAUCCUGUGACAGGAAAGAUGAAGAUCGCUAAUCCUCAGAGCAGUAGACUUGUGUGGGAAACUUGCCUUAAAGAGUUCAAGUCACUGGGUAAAGUUGCUGUGAGGCUUCUUUUCCUUCAUGCAACCUCAUGUGGGAUCAAGUGCAAUUGGUCCUUCACAAGGUGGUUUUGUGGACAAGGACAUUCAAGGUCAGGCUUGGAGAGAGCUCAGAAACUAGUUUUUGUUGCAGCUCAUGCAAAGCUUGAAAGACGGGACUUUUCCAGUGCAGAAGAGAAGGAUGCGGAACUUUUUGGCACAAUGAGUGCAGUAAAGCUCUAGCCGAAGAAGCAACUUUACCAUCUUCUUUGUCAAGAUAGGGCCUCCGGAAAUGCCCCCACCAUGGAUAGUGAAAGUCCAUACAGAAAUUUGUUUACCUGUCAUGAUCAAAGAGAAUGGACAAAAAGCAUUGACUUUAAUUCCAGCAUGUUGAUAUUCUUGGUGGUGGAGCUGUUAUUUUCAUGCUUUACACGUGUUGGAUGCGUAUACGGCCUCAUGUUGGUACCGAUUUGAUUGAAUGACAGACGAGCUUUGUCGGCUGGAACGGGUAAAACUGACUGCUCACCAAACAUGAGAGGAAAAAGGCUUUCUCAAAGGUAUGGAAUGGCUCCAUUGCUUAAUUCUCUCAUGUUCUUGUUAAAGGGGAAGGAGAUGUAAUGAUUAGUAUGGUACAGAACAACACUCAUUUUCUAUGAGAAUCUCCACCCUUUCAAUGGCCCCCCACAUAAUUACUCUGUCUCUCAUCUCCUUUUACAACUCCCACUUGAAGAUAUCUUGGUUGUUUUUGAAUUCAAACUCCUUCCAGAAACAUAUUUGUACAUUUGUUGUUGUUGGCUUACUUUUUCCCCUUUUGUUUUUCACUUUUACUGUAAGAAUGGUUGAAUUUAUUGUAAAAUCUAUAUCAUAGAGUAGGGCUUUCUAGA